AGUUAGGAUACAGUAAGAAGGCCACCGGCUGCAAGCCAGGAAGGAAGGCUUCACUCAUUACCAAAUUGACCAGCACCUUGAUCUUGGACAUCUCAGGCUUCAGAACUCACUCAGCCAUCAUGAUACAGGCUUUUCCUGAGGGCACAGGCAGAUGCCAAGUAGGCACAGAGUCAGAGGGAGAACCGUGGACACAGAACCAUAGAAGCUGAGCUCUCACUACUGGAUUCAAGUCCCAGACAUAAUACUUGCUGGCUGUGUGGCCUUGGGAAGGCACAUGACCACUCUCAGUGAAAGUGAAACUGGAAAGUUUCUGCUCCGCAGAGAUUUUCUUACAAAUGAGAUGAGUUCGCAAGAACA